GGGUGCUUGAGACUUUCUGUUUCAGGCAUACACGAAGCAGAAAGAGAAAAGCCCCGAGCUGAUAAAUCAACCCGAGGCCCCUCGUAUGCUAGACACGUACAGGUUAGCCUCUUACAGACCGAAAGGUCAAGGAGAAGCAGCCAUG
rnacentral:antisense_RNA from 1 species